AUGAAGAACAAAAACGGUCGUCCCAGGAAAUCAGCUCUCAACGAAGCCGCUGCUGGCAACAAGAAUGGUCGUCGCAGGCGGAAUCUAAAUGCAACGCAAAAGGCAACUCGCAACGAAGCCGCUGCUAGCAACGCAAAUGAUGACAGGCUUAGCAAGCUGCCCAAUGACCUUCUUCUCAACAUUCUGGAGAGGGUGGACACACUCGACGCUAUAAGGGCCUGCAUCCUCUCCAGGCAAAUGCUGAAGCUCCCCACCAUGCUCUCGCGCUUUUACCUAAGUGUUAGUUCCAUUCCAGGUCUCCAGGCUAAACCACCUCGCGCUGUCACCCUCAAGGAAGUGCUCGGAAUCAACAGUGCUUUGUCUCAUGUAACGGAUAACAUCUUGAGCACAAGGAGCCCGGAGGUUACCAUCAGCAAACUCAAAAUCAGAUUUGUCUUGUUGCCUGAUGACUCCCUUGCCAUUGGAAGAUCUGUCGCCCGCGCCAUGGCAACCCAGAAGCUUGGUGCAGCUGAGUUUGAGAUCGUAACGAAGAAGCGUUAUAACCUCUGCUCUUCUAUUGAUUUCCUCAACUUUGCCAAGCAGUUCAAUGAUUUAGUUGGUGCUUGUCCGCAUGCAUUUGCUGGCCUUACGAGCCUGUGGCUGGAAAAUAUGAGGUUUGGUGAACUGGACAUUCCCAACAUCCUCAGCACUUGCAAGCUCUUGGAGUAUUUGCGUUUAACCCAUUGCGACUCAGGGAUCCAUUCUGUGCUGCAAGUAGAACACACUCAACUUGUUGAGCUCGAGAUCGACCAGGGGAAAUUUCAGAGAGUUGAGCUGAUAUGUCUACCAAAACUCCAACGGUUGACCUAUAAUAAUUGGUUCUCUUGUGAGGAUCCGAUGUAUUUUGGUUUUGUACCACAGCUUUCAAAGCUGAGCCUUAUUAAAACUGCCACCCGUUCGGACAAGUCUCUCAAGUUAAGUCAACUCCUUGCUAAUGUUCCUUCCGUAGGCGAUCUGCGUCUGGAUUUUGGAAGUGAAAAGAUCUGGGUUCUACCAGAAUGCCCAAAACUGCUCAGGCCUGUGCUCAGCAAACUACAGCAUGUGAAUCUGGACCAUCUUCCUGAAGGGUGUGAUUUAGCUUGGACAAUGUUUAUUCUUGAAGCUGCACCCUCCUUAAAAGAGCUAUGCAUCACAGUAUGGGAUCAUUGGUGCAUAAUGGUGAAAGACAAAGAGUUUCGGGAGAAAUAUGGUUACUGCGAGAAGGCAGACGUGAAGUGGAAGCCAUAUGCCCCUGAUUUCAAGCACAAGAAUCUGGCUAAGCUCACCAUUUAUGGCUUCCAACCUGACGACAAUUUUAUGCGAUACGUCAGGUGUGUCGUGGAACAUGCCAUUAAUAUAACAGAGAUAUCCCUGUCCGACAGGAAGGGGUGUAGGCGGUGUGGUGACUUGGAUCCAUCAAGAUAUCCACGGACUGCCGGGGAGAGGAAACAGACAGCUGACGAGUUGGGUUUGGCUUCGGGUGUUGUGGUUCAUUUCCGGUCGUGA
rnacentral:rRNA from 1 species